AGUCCACUUAAGCCUUGCUUAGUGUUGGGAGUCUACUUGAGCGGUGCUACCCUGUAGCUACCCUGUAGUUCCUCAAAGACAGCGGCGGAGUUGUGGUAUCCUCUGAGCUUAGUAAUUUUUCUAGCUUUCGAGUUGCCAUUGCGCUUGCCGUUAAACACCCUUCUUUUGAAU
rnacentral:misc_RNA from 1 species